rnacentral:rRNA from 1 species
UACGGGGGGGGGCAAGCGUUGUUCGGAAUUACUGGGCGUAAAGAGCUCGUAGGCGGUUUGUUGCGUCGGCUGUGAAAUCCCGAGGCUCAACCUCGGGUCUGCAGUCGAUACGAGCAAACUAGAGUGUUGCAGGGGAGACUGGAAUUCCUGGUGUAGCGGUGAAAUGCGUAGAGAUCCGGAGGAACACCGAAGGCGAAGGCAGUCUCCUGGCAAGUUACUGACGCUCAGGUGCGAAAGCUAGGGGAGCGAACAGG